rnacentral:rRNA from 1 species
UAGUCCACGCCGUAAACGAUGAUAACUAGCUGUCCGGGCUCAUAGAGCUUGGGUGGCGCAGCUAACGCAUUAAGUUAUCCGCCUGGGGAGUACGGUCGCAAGAUUAAAACUCAAAGGAGUUGACGGGGGCCCGCACAAGCGGUGGAGCAUGUGGUUUAAUUCGACGCAACGCGCAGAACCUUACCAACCCUCGACAUACCUGUCGCGGCGACCAGAGAUGGACGCUUUCAGUUCGGCUGGACAGGAUACAGGUGCUGCAUGGCUGUCGUCAGCUCGUGUCGUGAGAUGUUCGGUUAAGUCCGGCAACGAGCGCAACCCACGUCCUUAGUUGCCAGCAGGUUAAGCUGGGCACUCUAAGGAAACUGCCCGUGAUAAGCGGGAGGAAGGUGUGGAUGACGUCAAGUCCUCAUGGCCCUUACGGGUUGGGCUACACACGUGCUACAAUGGCAGUGACAAUGGGUUAAUCCCCAAAAGCUGUCUCAGUUCGGAUUGGGGUCUGCAACUCG